AUCUGUAAAGCUCUAAGUUCUCACAGUUUCACUCGAAAAACUUGUUCUAAAAGGUCAUCCAGAUGUCUUUCUCUUGCUUUAGUGGGAACUUGUUUGUGGUGAGGUCACCCAGAUAACUUGCACCGAACGGCCAAAACGGUUACAGCCAGUUGUCCAGCUCAGCAGAUUAUUUCCCCCGGAGCAGAACACUGAGGCUCAAGUCCAUUUUCCUGUCUGUUGGAGAUAAAGAGGAUGCAUCACUGACUGAACAGUAAACGGCCGGA
ensembl:lncRNA